rnacentral:rRNA from 1 species
GUGGGGAAUAUUGGACAAUGGGCGAAAGCCUGAUACAGCCAUGCCGCGUGUGUGAAGAAGGUCUUCGGAUUGUAAAGCACUUUAAGUUGGGAGGAAGGGCAGUAAGUUAAUACCUUGCUGUUUUGACGUUACCGACAGAAUAAGCACCGGCUAACUUCGUGCCAGCAGCCGCGGUAAUACGAAGGGUGCAAGCGUUAAUCGGAAUUACUGGGCGUAAAGCGCGCGUAGGUGGUUUUGUAAGUUGGAGGUGAAAUCCCCGGGCUCAACCUGGGAACUGCCUCCAAAACUGCAUGACUAGAGUACGGUAGAGGGUAGUGGAAUUUCCUGUGUAGCGGUGAAAUGCGUAGAUAUAGGAAGGAACACCAGUGGCGAAGGCGACUACCUGGACUGAUACUGACACUGAGGUGCGAAAGCGUGGGGAGCAAACAGGAUUAGAAACCCUGGUAGUCC